GGGCCAUAGCUCAGUGGUAGAGAGAGCUUCUGCUUUGUAUGUAGAAGGUCCCAGGUUCUGAGAUACAUGUGUUACCA